rnacentral:rRNA from 1 species
GACGAACGCUGGCGGCGUGCCUAAUACAUGCAAGUCGAACGCACAGUUUAUACCGUAGCUUGCUCCACCAUAGACUGUGAGUUACGAACGGGUGAGUAACGCGUAGGUAACCUGACUGGUAGCGGGGGAUAACUAUUGGACACGAUAGCUAAUACCGCAUAAUAUUAAUUAUUGCAUGAUAAUUAAUUGAAAGGUGCAAUUGCACCACUACCAGAUGGACCUGCGUUGUAUUAGCUAGUAGGGGAGGUAACGGCGCACCUAGGCGACGAUACAUAGCCGACCAGAGAGCGGGCGCGGCCACGCUGGGACGGAGACACGGCCCAGACUCCUACGGGAGGCAGCAGUAGGGAAUCUUCGGCAAUGGAAGAAAGGCGGACCGAGCAACGCCGCGUGAGUGAAGAAGGUUGUCGGAUCGUAAAGCUCUGUUGUAAGAGAAGAACGGGUGUGAGAGUUGAAAGGGCACACUGUGACGGUAUCUUACCAGAAAGGGACGGCUAACUACGUG